CGCGCAGAUAGCUCUACAGACAGAAAGGAGAUGAGAUGGGAGUCUGAUGGACUUUCGCCGGGAGCAGAGGGGAGGGACGGGCACCAGGAAAAUAGUCAAACUUCACUGCUGGAGAGGAGAAAGGGAGCGAAGCCGAGCGAGGACCCACAGGGGCCUCUCACCCACAGCCCCUGUCCCGCUCCACCUUCCAGAGGAGGGCGCCAUCUCCCCUCGGGAAGCAAGACUUUGUCUCCGCCUUCUCCCGCCCCCGGCCAGCUCCCGCCGCUCCCCGACGCCCCCGCCCCGCCAGCCCGGUCCAUCUUCAGCCCUCUCCCCGCGCCUGUCCGGGUCAUGAGAGCCUGCUCGGCCGCCGUACCAUGCUCGCCGUGGGGCCGCCCCUCCACCGGCACGGAGACUGUGCGUCUCAGCAGUUUGUUGCGACUGGACUCGCUCCUCCGGUCCCGGAUCAGUAGGGGGUGUAUCUAGGGGAGGUGGGGGUGUGUCAGACCUCCCUGGCCCACGCCGCCCCUCCCCUCCCUCUUCCCCCCUCCGCCUCCUCCCAGGAAGGGCGGGCCUCCUUUUCCCCCUAAGCCUGCCCACUUUUUCUGCCCCGGCCCCUCCACACUUGGUGACUGGAUCUCUCCCUUCUCUCCCCCAGUCUCUCUCUCUCAUUCUUUGCCGUCCCACCCUCUUUUCUCCCUCCAUUUGUCUUGAAACACCUUCCGGAGAAUUCUCCCAAACCCUACUCAGCUCUUCUGCAACUCCUCAGAAGUUAGCUACUUCCUGAAUCCAGUUUUCCCUUGACCUUCAGUUCCUCCAUUCUCCCUGCUUUCCUCCCAACCUCCCACCUCCCUUACCCCCUUCUCUCCCUCCGAGCCUGUCACGGGGGUAGCAGAAGCUGCAUUUAUAAUCAGGAUCCACAGCUUGUCUCCCUCCCACGGCCCGGCUUGCGGCCAGACUGGGACCCAACCUCCCCUCCCGCCAGAGGGCCUGGUCACCUUCCCCCACCUUUCAUCUCCUUCCAUCACCCGACCCAGCAUCUCUCAGUUCCCUUCUUCCCCUCAGCCAUCACCUUUCCCUAAGCUUCACACCCAGCUCCCCCUGUCCACCUCCAUCCCUACCUCCAUACACCUCCACCCCUGCAGUCUCCUCCACCUCUACAAAGAGCCACAGGAACAGACCCCUCACUAUCCCCCAGCCCCAGUUCCACCACCCAUCCAAUUCCAACUCCCUGCGUCUGUUCAGGCUGCUCAUUUUCCCAAUUCUAUCUACUCCUCCUCCCACACACACGCCCUUCCUGCUCCAGACCGGCCAUUCCUAUUGCCCCUCAACUUGCUGGCCACUGGUCCCUUCAGUCUGUCCCUAUCUCUGUCAUUCCUUCAUUACCCCAAUCCAUUGUCUUCCCUCUUCAUCCCUAUAACAGUCCCCACUCUGGGUUCCAGUUUCCCCCAUUUCUCCUACAGACUCCAAACCUUGAUCUAGGGGUUUGACCACAGUCACUCAAAUGUCUCCCAAUGGUGUCCAAAACUUAGACUCCCCAAGCCACCUCUCCUUUCAAAGUCACCAUAUCCUCUCCUUAACACCUCUACUUUACUCUGUGGCCUGGAAGCUGUCUACCCAGCCAUCUCUCCACACUCUCACCUGCCCCCAUAGGUCCCUUGACACUCUAGUUAGCCCUGACUCAAAUUCUAACCCUUCCUCAUCACACCAUUCCCAAUAACUUUCAGGGUCCAUCUCUCACCACGUUUGGUUUUCCAGGCUACCCUACCAUUUUUUAAAGCUUGUCCCCCAAAUCACCCCCAUUCCCUGACUCACACUUGUGGGGCACCAUUCCAGUUUUUAUCCUCUAUUUCCUCCAAUGGACACUCCUGCUGACCCAGCUCCCAAAUCAGAACCCACACUUCCCUGGCUCUCAGAUCUCCAUACCUGGCCACCACCUCCCAUAAGAGGCCUCUGUCCGUUUCAUCUCCUUUACUCUGGCUAGUCCCUGCCCCUACUCCACUUGUACUCCUUUAGAUAACUCCACAUACUCCCAGUUCCCCUCCCUUAUAUUCCUUCCUGAUGUCCAACCACUCCCUUGCAGAAGCCCUCUCAGUGUCUCUCUAAACCUUGAUCUCAAUCACUCUCCCAGUCUUCACCCCAUCAUGC
rnacentral:lncRNA from 1 species